GUCCUGAUUGGCUCCCACGGUUCUCGCUCGGCUUCAUAUCCGGACUAGCCGUCGCACACGGCUGUCGUAUCCCCAAGCUCUGCACUCUGGCGCCGCCUCCUCUAGCCCUGCCCGCUUGUGCCGACGGCCCGGCGCCACCUCCCGCAACUCCACACGGCGGUAACCCCAACUCUAUCCGCUAACAUCUCAGCACGGUGAACCCGCCACUCGCAGCCCUCCCGUCUCAGAUCCAGUUUGAUUAGUUGGUUAUUUGUGCAGAUCCUACAGUUUGAUUAGUUAGUUAUUUGUGCAGAUCCUAACCAACUGUGAUCGCUGCUGCUGCGGCUUGAUCAGAGCGCGUUCUCUGGUGACAUACCUCUGGAGAUUGGGCGGCUGCAGCAGCUCUAAGGCUGACCUUAACAGCAGCAAGUUUGAGGACAACUACAGUUAGCCAAUAUGUUUUCUGUCUAUGUCCUCGCGAAGUACUAGAGCAGUAGCUACAUACCGUGGUUUGUCCAUAUCCUGUUGUUAGAUGAUCAAGGGUGAUUAGAUACAUGUUCUGGAACCAAUGUUCAGAUGACAAAUUGCAAACUAAACACCCUUUUGUUCUCUAUCUUUUUUUUUUUGCAAUUGCAAUGCGUGUAAAGUACAUUAUCAAUGUCAGCCCCAGGCAUAUCAAUCGUCCUCAUGCCCGGCCGUGUCCUAGCGUGGAAAAAUU
rnacentral:lncRNA from 7 species